rnacentral:rRNA from 1 species
AUUGAACGCUGGCGGCAGGCCUAACACAUGCAAGUCGAGCGUGAAAGUCCUUCGGGAUGAGUAAAGCGGCGGACGGGUGAGUAACGCGUAGGAAUCUACCUGAUAGUGGGGGAUAACGUCUCGAAAGGGACGCUAAUACCGCAUACGUUCUGAGGAAGAAAGCAGGGGAUCGCAAGACCUUGUGCUAUAAGAUGAGCCUGCGUCCGAUUAGCCAGUUGGUGGGGUAAAGGCCUACCAAGGCGACGAUCGGUAACUGGUAUGAGAGGAUGAUCAGUCAGACUGGAACUGAGACACGGUCCAGGAGCCGACGGGAGGCAGCAGUGGGGAAUAUUGGACAAUGGGGGCAACCCUGAUCCAGCCAUGCCGCGUGUGUGAAGAAGGCCUUCGGGUUGUAAAGCACUUUAAGCGGGGAGGAAGGCUCCAUGGUUAAUACCCAUGGGGAUUGACGUUACCCGCAGAAUAAGCACCGGCAAACUUCGUGCCAGCCGCCGCAGUAA